UUAGGCCAGCUUGGCGUUGGUUGUCCAAGUUUAAGGUGGUAGGCUGAAAUCUUAGGUAAAUCCGGGGUUUCAAGGCCUAGAGCUGAUGACGAGUCGUCUUUUAGAUGACGAAGUGGUUGAUGCCAUGCUUCCAAGAAAAGCUUCUAAGCUUCAGGUAACCAGGAACCGUACCCCAAACCGACACAGGUGGUCGGGUAGAGAAUACCAAGGCGCUUGAGAGAACUCGGGUGAAGGAACUAGGCAAAAUGGCACCGUAACUUCGGGAGAAGGUGCGCCGGCUAGGGUGAAGGAUUUACUCCGUAAGCUCUGGCUGGUCGAAGAUACCAGGCCGCUGCGACUGUUUAUUAAAAACACAGCACUCUGCAAACACGAAAGUGGACGUAUAGGGUGUGACGCCUGCCCGGUGCCGGAAGGUUAAUUGAUGGGGUUAGCGCAAGCGAAGCUCUUGAUCGAAGCCCCGGUAAACGGCGGCCGUAACCAUAACGGUCCUAAGGUAGCGAAAUUCCUUGUCGGGUAAGUUCCGACCUGCACGAAUGGCGUAACGAUGGCGGCGCUGUCUCCACCCGAGACUCAGUGAAAUUGAAAUCGCUGUGAAGAUGCAGUGUAUCCGCGGCUAGACGGAAAGACCCCGUGAACCUUUACUGUAGCUUUGCACUGGACUUUGAGCCUGCUUGUGUAGGAUAGGUGGGAGGCUUUGAAGCGUGGACGCCAGUUCGCGUGGAGCCAUCCUUGAAAUACCACCCUGGCAUGCUUGAGGUUCUAACUCUGGUCCGUAAUCCGGAUCGAGGACAGUGUAUGGUGGGCAGUUUGACUGGGGCGGUCUCCUCCUAAAGAGUAACGGAGGAGUACGAAGGUGCGCUCAGACCGGUCGGAAAUCGGUCGCAGAGUAUAAAGGCAAAAGCGCGCUUGACUGCGAGACAGACACGUCGAGCAGGUACGAAAGUAGGUCUUAGUGAUCCGGUGGUUCUGUAUGGAAGGGCCAUCGCUCAACGGAUAAAAGGUACUCCGGGGAUAACAGGCUGAUACCGCCCAAGAGUUCAUAUCGACGGCGGUGUUUGGCACCUCGAUGUCGGCUCAUCACAUCCUGGGGCUGAAGCCGGUCCCAAGGGUAUGGCUGUUCGCCAUUUAAAGUGGUACGCGAGCUGGGUUUAGAACGUCGUGAGACAGUUCGGUCCCUAUCUGCCGUGGACGUUUGAGAUUUGAGAGGGGCUGCUCCUAGUACGAGAGGACCGGAGUGGACGAACCUCUGGUGUUCCGGUUGUCACGCCAGUGGCAUUGCCGGGUAGCUAUGUUCGGAAAAGAUAACCGCUGAAAGCAUCUAAGCGGGAAACUUGCCUCAAGAUGAGAUCUCACUGGGAACUUGAUUCCCCUGAAGGGCCGUCGAAGACUACGACGUUGAUAGGCUGGGUGUGUAAGCGUUGUGAGGCGUUGAGCUAACCAGUACUAAUUGCCCGUGAGGCUUGAUC
rnacentral:rRNA from 1 species